AACGAACGCUGGCGGCAGGCCUAACACAUGCAAGUCGGACGGGAUCUUCGGAUCUAGUGGCGGACGGGUUAGUAACGCGUGGGAACGUGCCCUUUGGUUCGGAAUAGCCCCGGGAAACUGGGAGUAAUACCGGAUAAGCCCUACGGGGGAAAGAUUUAUCGCCAAAGGAUCGGCCCGCGUUGGAUUAGGUAGUUGGUGAGGUAAUGGCUCACCAAGCCGACGAUCCAUAGCUGGUUUGAGAGGAUGAUCAGCCACACUGGGACUGAGACACGGCCCAGACGCCUACGGGAGGCAGCAGUGGGGAAUCUUAGACAAUGGGGGAAACCCUGAUCUAGCCAUGCCGCGUGAUCGAUGAAGGCCUUAGGGUUGUAAAGAUCUUUCAGUGGGGAAGAUAAUGACUGUACCCACAGAAGAAGCCCCGGCUAACUCCGUGCCAGCCGCCGCCGUAA
rnacentral:rRNA from 1 species